rnacentral:rRNA from 1 species
CCUACGGGAGGCAGCCGUGGGGAAUAUUGCACAAUGGGGGAAACCCUGAUGCAGCGACGCCGCGUGAGUGAAGAAGUAUUUAGGUAUGUAAAGCUCUAUCAGCAGGGAAGAAAAUGACGGUACCUGAUUAAGAAGCCACGGCUAACUACGUGCCAGCAGCCGCUGUACUACGUAGGGGGCAAGCGUUAUCCGGAUUUACUGGGUGUAAAGGGAGCGUCGGAGGCAGCACAAGUGUGGAGUGAAAGGCCGGGGCUUAACCCCGGAACUGCUUUGGAUACUGUGCAGCUAGAGUGCAGGAGAGGUAAGUGGAAUGCCUGGUGUAGCGGUGAAAUGCGUAGA